AUGGCCACCUGCCUCUCUGACAUUAUCAGUGACCAUUCCACUGAUUUGCUUGGGUUGCAAGAAACCUUGAAGAAAGAUUUUACUCCUAAGCUUCUUAGAAAACUUGAUCCCUAUAACUCAUUCCAUUGGGAAUGGAUUCCUACUAUUGGGAAAUCUGGGGGAAUCCUUUGUGGUAUUCGCAUUAGCAACCUGGAGUUGUUGAAAUGCAUUAAAGGGAAUUAUAUUCUGCAAAUGCAUGUUAGAGAUUUUAGGACCAAGAAUAUCUGGAGUUUCCUAGUGGUAUAUGGAUCUGCUCAUGAGGAGCACAGGGAAGAGUUCCUAAUGGAACUGGCCACCUUUUGCCACAACACUGACAUCCCCUAUAUUGUUGGGGUGACUUCAAUAUUUUAA
rnacentral:rRNA from 1 species